UAAAUACUCCCUCCGUCCAACAAAAGAUGUCUCAAAUUUGUCAAAAUUUGAAUGUAUCUAGACAUGAGUUAGUGUAUAGAUGCAUUCAAAUUUAGUCAAAGUUGAGACAUCUUUUGUUGGACGGAGGGAGUAUUUA
rnacentral:pre_miRNA from 1 species